UGGGGAAUAUUGGACAAUGGGCGAAAGCCUGAUCCAGCCAUGCCGCGUGUGUGAAGAAGGUCUUCGGAUUGUAAAGCACUUUAAGAUGGGAGGAAGGGCAGUAAGCGAAUACCUUGCUGUUUUGACGUUACCGACAGAAUAAGCACCGGCUAACUCUGUGCCAGCAGCCGCGGUAAUACAGAGGGUGCAAGCGUUAAUCGGAAUUACUGGGCGUAAAGCGCGCGUAGGUGGUUCGUUAAGUUGAAUGUGAAAGCCCCGGGCUCAACCUGGGAACUGCAUCCAAAACUGGCGAGCUAGAGUAGGGCAGAGGGUGGGGGAAUUUCCUGUGUAGCGGUGAAAUGCGUAGAUAUAGGAAGGAACACCAGUGGCGAAGGCGACCACCUGGGCUCAUACUGACACUGAGGUGCGAAAGCGUGGGGAGCAAACAGG
rnacentral:rRNA from 1 species